UAUUAGAGGACGUGGUUUGAUUAUAUUACAUCGAUUCAGGUCAGUUUGGCUACUGUUUCCUCUACUGAUGCUUUGUUCGAUGCUUUGCAUGGCCACUUUACACAACAUUCUGUCCAAGGAACAAUCAAGAUAAACUUUUAGAAUGUUUUUAUAUGGCUUGAUUCCUCGUUUGUGUGAGCAGCUAUAAAAUUGUGAGAACUAUAAAGUAGCAAAUAUAUUCCUGAGCAUAUUUGAUCGGAUUUUUAUAAAACACUACACCAGCAAAAUGUCGGCAUUGUUGGAAAAUGCUGUGAUUUUUCGUGAAGUUCAACCCUCGAACUCUGCACAGAAACUGUACGGAAAAUAUAGUUAAACUUUAUUUAACAGUUGGAGCAUUUUCCUACACCAGAGACUUUAUUACUAUUAAAGAUGCGGCAUGUACAGUCCAAUCUGUGCAUGUGCACAAAGGAGCCCUCUUUUUAUUUACAAACAGUUUAUUUAGGUUUUUAUUUCAUUUUAUGUUCUUGCAAAGCUUGAUUGUUGUCUCUUGAUAAUUUCUAGAAUCAUGAAAAUAUAACUAGUUGUGGAAUAAAAUUCAAUAUUUUGGAUACCGAAAUGUAAACAAAGCAUUUGUUUACAUACGGACUGUACCGCAUCUUUAAAGUAUAGCAUUAAUUAAUGAAUGGCAGUCAAAGAAAAGGCAUUGAGUGAUUGAGAAAGGGGAUGCGAUAACAUAAAACUUGAUAAACUUCUUAAUUGUUAAAGAUUGUCA